CUUUCCUCUACUCUCAUUCGUACAUCAUCUGCUAUUCUCUCUCCUCGAAUCCUCCGCCAUGGGAGACUGAUUCAUGCAAGGAUUCAAGCAACGACUAUUACUUCCUUUUAAUAGAUUGAUUAAUGUUCUGGUGCUAAGAAGAGAAAACUUCCAAGAAAAAGGCGCAAAAGCAAUCCUAUAACACUGAUGAGUCUCACCUUCAAGGAAAGAAAUCCUCAGCUUCUCCUCCUCUUCUGGGUUGGCCGAUUAAAAAAGCUGCAAUUUUCGAAGAGGUCAUUGUUUUCGGGUCACAGAAGCCUGUUUUAGCUGAUGAUUUUGAGCUGAAGAAGCAUAAUUUGAAAUUUCCCGAUGCUUGUUGAAAUGUGUCAGAGGUGGAGAUGAUGAAAGAGAGGUUUGCAAAGUUGUUGCUUGGAGAAGAUAUGUUAGUAAGAGGGAAAGGGGUUUCUUGGUUUCUACUGCAUUAGUUGUUUCCAAUGAAAAUACGGAGUACUAAUUUAUGCGCAACGAUAAUCGGCAAUUAUGGAGGUUGCUAUGUGUUGGUGAUCGAUCACAUUGUUAAGAUGAUACCAACUUGGCAGACUUUUCCUGAUGGGAAAAAGCUAGAGGUAAUGGAGAGCUCAAAGUGCCUUUAAGCUCCUUGAAAUCAAUGAGAGAUUCACUCUUUUUGAAGACUUCUGCAUAUCAAGAACGAAAGCCGGUUAUCCGGCUUGCAUGAACACGAAUGCAACAGUGGAAGACUUUGUAUUCACGGGAAUAAAGGUGGCAGGGAACUUGACAAACAGCGGCAUCACAUCGAAACCUGUUAACGGAAACGUCUUCCCUGGGCUAAACACCUUGAGAUUGUCGAUGGUUCAAGCUGAUUUUGGUGUAGGUGGUGUUAAUGUUCCACAUUACCAUCCGAGAGCUACAGAAGUCGCUUAUGUGCUUGAGGGAAGUAUAUAUUCUGGAUUUGUUGACAGUUAGGGUAGAAUUUUUGCUAAGAUGAUUGAGAAAGGUGAGUUGAUGGCCUUUCCUAGGGGAAUAUUGCAUUUCCAGAUGAAUGUUGGUGAGUCUUCUGCAUCUAUUUUGGGAAGUUUCGACAGCCAGAAUCCCGGCUUGAUGAGAAUCCCAUCUACUGCUUUUGGGUCUGAUAUCAAGGAAGAGCUUCUAUAAAAGGCUUUUGGUUUGAGUUCAAGAGAUCUUCGCAAGUUGAAGAACAAGUUCAGCUCAUCUGAAGUAUAAACCAUAGAUGUUAAAAAGAUGGAAAAGUUUAUUGCAUCCUUUGAUUAUGGUUAAUUUAUUUUUGUCUAAUAUGCAAACUUGUUUUAAUUUAGUCAGAUAAG